GUUGAAGUGCUUGGAUUUAUACAGCAGGGAACUGAGGCUGAAGAGGAGAAUGCCUGGAGUCUGAUCCAUUUAUGACACUCUUCAGUUUUCAGUCCUCUGCAUCUCCAGCAGAGAGAAAUAAAGUGUAUUCACUGAGAUUCUCGAAGCUUAAGGGAAAAAGAUUAAAGAUAAGAGUUGGUAUACAGCUUUCAAUCAUUAAAGCAAAUAAAAGCAGAGCAGUAUUUGAAAAAAGAAAUGGUACCUAUUAGCAAUGAUGGGAAAGGCUCAAGCACAUGGGAAAACACACUGGGCAAAACAAAA